rnacentral:snRNA from 1 species
GGGCUCACUUUAAGAGCACAUAUCCUAAAAUUGGAAUGAUACAGAGAGGAUUAGCAUGGCCCCUGAGCAAGGAUGAUACCCAAAGUCCAUCUUUUU